UGUACAUAAAUAUUGGCAAGUUCCCUUAAUAGGCCCAUGAAAGUAAGCUUGUCCAAGAUUGCAGGUUUCCAGCGUGCGAUAUAGAAGCAUGGAGGCAAAGGGAUUCUUCAGAAGCACAAGAGGUUUGUGGCAAGGUGAUCCUUUAUCUCCAUUUUAUUUCACAUUGGUGAUGGAGAUAUUGAGUUAAAUAGUCUGCAGAGCUAGAGAUAGAGGCUUCAUCAGAGG
rnacentral:misc_RNA from 1 species